rnacentral:rRNA from 1 species
GACGAACGCUGGCGGCGUGCCUAAUACAUGCAAGUCGAGCGAGCUGAAUUCAAAGAUCCCUUCGGGGUGAUUUGUUGGAUGCUAGCGGCGGAUGGGUGAGUAACACGUGGGCAAUCUGCCCUAAAGACUGGGAUACCACUUGGAAACAGGUGCUAAUACCGGAUAACAACAUGAAUCGCAUGAUUCAAGUUUGAAAGGCGGCGCAAGCUGUCACUUUAGGAUGAGCCCGCGGCGCAUUAGCUAGUUGGUGGGGUAAAGGCCUACCAAGGCAAUGAUGCGUAGCCGAGUUGAGAGACUGAUCGGCCACAUUGGGACUGAGACACGGCCCAAACUCCUACGGGAGGCAGCAGUAGGGAAUCUUCCACAAUGGACGCAAGUCUGAUGGAGCAACGCCGCGUGAGUGAAGAAGGUUUUCGGAUCGUAAAGCUCUGUUGUUGGUGAAGAAGGAUAGAGGCAGUAACUGGUCUUUAUUUGACGGUAAUCAACCAGAAAGUCACGGCUAACUACGUGCCAGCAGCCGCGGUAAUACGUAGGUGGCAAGCGUUGUCCGGAUUUAUUGGGCGUAAAGCGAGCGCAGUCGGAAUGAUAAGUCUGAUGUGAAAGCCCACGGCUCAACCGUGGAAC